rnacentral:rRNA from 1 species
AGAGUUUGAUCAUGGCUCAGGACGAACGCUGGCGGCGUGCCUAACACAUGCAAGUCGAGCGAAGCUUAAGUCUUCAGCUUGCUGUAGGCUUAAGACUUAGCGGCGAACGGGUGAGUAACGCGUGGGUGACCUACCCAGGAGACCGGGAUAACAGCUCGAAAGGGCUGCUAAUACCGGAUGACAUCCUGCUCUUUUGGGGGUAGGAUCAAAGCGUUAAGUAGCGCUUCUGGAUGGGCCCGCGUCCCAUUAGCUAGUUGGUGAGGUAACGGCUCACCAAGGCGACGAUGGGUAGCCGGUCUGAGAGGAUGGUCGGCCACACUGGGACUGAGAUACGGCCCAGACUCCUACGGGAGGCAGCAGUGGGGAAUUUUGCGCAAUGGGGGCAACCCUGACGCAGCGACGCCGCGUGGGUGAUGAAGGCCUUCGGGUUGUAAAGCCCUGUCUAGGGGGAAGAUAGUGACGGUACCCCUGGAGGAAGCCCCGGCUAACUACGUGCCAGCAGCCGCGGUAAUACGUAGGGGGCGAGCGUUGUCCGGAAUUACUGGGCGUAAAGGGCGUGUAGGCGGCCAAGCAAGUCAGCUGUGAAACACCCCGGCUCAACCGUGGUUCUGCAGUUGAAACUGCGUGGCUUGAGUGCAGGAGAGGAGGGUGGAAUUCCUGGUGUAGCGGUGAAAUGCGUAGAUAUCAGGAGGAACACCGGUGGCGAAGGCGACCUUCUGGCCUGUUACUGACGCUGAGGCGCGAAAGCUAGGGGAGCGAACAGGAUUAGAUACCCUGGUAGUUCUAGCCGUAAACGCUGGGUACUANGUGUANGCGGUUUCGAUACCAUCCGUGCCGUANUUAACGCAUUAAGUACCCCGCCUGGGGAGUACGUGCGCAAGCAUGAAACUCAAAGGAAUUGACGG